rnacentral:rRNA from 1 species
CCUACGGGCGGCAGCAGUGGGGAAUAUUGCACAAUGGGGGAAACCCUGAUGCAGCAACGCCGCGUGAAGGAAGACGGUUUUCGGAUUGUAAACUUCUAUCAAUAGGGAAGAAAGAAAUGACGGUACAUAAAUAAGAAGCCCCGGCUAACUACGUGCCAGCAGCCGCGGUAAUACGUAGGGGGCAAGCGUUAUCCGGAAUUACUGGGUGUGAAGGGAGAGUAGGCGGCAAGGUAAGUGAGAUGUGAAAGCCUGAAGCUUAACUUAAGGAUUGCAUAACGAACUAGAUAGCUAGAGUGCAGGAGAGGAAAGCGGAAUUCCUAGUGUAGCGGUGAAAUGCGUAGAUAUUAGGAAGAACACCAGUGGCGAAGGCGGCUUUCUGGCCUGAAACUGACGCUGAGGCUCGAAAGCGUGGGGAGCGAACAGGAUUAGAUACCCCGGUAGUC